rnacentral:rRNA from 1 species
GAUGAACGCUGGCGGCGUGCCUAAUACAUGCAAGUCGAGCGAACAGAUGAGGAGCUUGCUCCUCUGACGUUAGCGGCGGACGGGUGAGUAACACGUGGAUAACCUACCUAUAAGACUGGGAUAACUUCGGGAGACCGGAGCUAAUACCGGAUAAUAUAUUGAACCGCAUGGUUCAAUAGUGAAAGACGGUUUUGCUGUCACUUAUAGAUGGAUCCGCGCCGCAUUAGCUAGUUGGUAAGGUAACGGCUUACCAAGGCAACGAUGCGUAGCCGACCUGAGAGGGUGAUCGGCCACACUGGAACUGAGACACGGUCCAGACUCCUACGGGAGGCAGCAGUAGGGAAUCUUCCGCAAUGGGCGAAAGCUUGACGGAGCCACGCCGCGUGAGUGAUGAAGGUCUUCGGAUCGUAAAACUCUGUUAUUAGGGAAGAACAAAUGUGUAAGUAACUAUGCACGUCUUGACGGUACCUAAUCAGAAAGCCACGGCUAACUACGUG